rnacentral:lncRNA from 10 species
GAAUUCUUAACAGGACACGUUUAGGAUUAAACAGGUUUUACUGGGGGUCUGAAGAAACUUCCCAGACCUCCACAAACAAGUUUUAUUGGAGGAUCUAAAGGAACUUCCCAAACCUCCAUGAUUUAGCAGGAGACAAGAUGAGGGUAAUCACCCCCGGCACCUGGACCCAUUUAGAUUAAGUACAUUUACUGAGGCUCCAGAGGAAGGUCUUCAGGACUCAGACCUUAGUUAUAGAUUAGAAGAAGUUAAUCACUUAUGUCUUUAGACAAAUGCACACUUACACAUAGAUGUAUAGCUUAGAGGUUAUAUAAGCUCUGGAAAACUUUGUAAUUUAGACUUGGUCUGGUGAUACUUUCCCAGCCUUCUCCCUAUACCCGGUUACAGAAGUAAACUCUCUUCUUUCCCAGUUAGUCUGCAUCUUGCUAUUGGGCCACAGGAAUAAGCAUCUCGACCCUCUCUUUGGUUUGGGAAAAGUUUGGCUGUUGUCUGUUAUGGGAAGGUCUGGGAAAAGAUCUCGACUGCUUAAUUGGAAGAGUCAGAACUACAGUAACCAUUCCACAGACUAGAACACAGAAAGAAACAGUUCU